GGCCUGGUCGCCAAGUGGUAAGGCAGAGCUCUGCAAAAGCUCCACGCGCCGGUUCAAAUCCGGCCCAGGCCU
rnacentral:tRNA from 1 species